rnacentral:rRNA from 1 species
GACGAACGCUGGCGGCGUGCUUAACACAUGCAAGUCGAGCGGUAAAGCCCUUUCGGGGGUACACGAGCGGCGAACGGGUGAGUAACACGUGGGUGACCUGCCCUCAGCUCUGGGAUAAGCCUGGGAAACCGGGUCUAAUACUGGAUAUGACUCCAUGACGCAUGUUGUGGGGUGGAAAGCCUUGUGCGGCUGAGGAUGGGCCCGCGGCCUAUCAGCUUGUUGGUGGGGUGANGGCCUACCAAGGCGACGACGGGUAGCCGGCCUGAGAGGGCGACCGGCCACACUGGGACUGAGACACGGCCCAGACUCCUACGGGAGGCAGCAGUGGGGAAUCUUGCGCAAUGGGCGAAAGCCUGACGCAGCGACGCCGCGUGAGGAUGACGGCC